rnacentral:rRNA from 1 species
AACGAACGCUGGCGGCAGGCUUAACACAUGCAAGUCGAACGCCCCGCAAGGGGAGUGGCAGACGGGUGAGUAACGCGUGGGAAUCUACCCAACUCUACGGAAUAACUCAGGGAAACUUGUGCUAAUACCGUAUACGCCCUUCGGGGGAAAGAUUUAUCGGAGUUGGAUGAGCCCGCGUUGGAUUAGCUAGUUGGUGGGGUAAAGGCCUACCAAGGCGACGAUCCAUAGCUGGUCUGAGAGGAUGAUCAGCCACAUUGGGACUGAGACACGGCCCAAACUCCUACGGGAGGCAGCAGUGGGGAAUAUUGGACAAUGGGCGCAAGCCUGAUCCAGCCAUGCCGCGUGAGUGAUGAAGGCCCUAGGGUUGUAAAGCUCUUUCACCGGUGAAGAUAAUGACGGUAACCGGAGAAGAAGCCCCGGCUAACUUCGUG